rnacentral:tRNA from 1 species
UGUUCUGUGGCUUAGUUGGUUACAGCGCCGGUUUAGGGAUACGGAGUCGUGAGUUCGAAUCCCACAUGAACAC